rnacentral:rRNA from 1 species
GACAGAGGUGCCGAGCGUUAGGCGGAAUCACUGGGCUUAAAGCGUGUGUCGGCGGGCGAUCAAGUACCUUGUGAAAUCCCACGGCUCAACCGUGGAACCGCUGGGUAUACUGGUUGUCUUGAGCCGGCUAGGGGCGAGCGGAACAGACGGUGGAGCGGUGAAAUGCGUAGAUAUCGUCUGGAACGCCGAAGGUGAAAACAGCUCGCUGGGGCCGCGCUGACGCUGAGACACGAAAGCCAGGGGAGCGAACGGG